rnacentral:rRNA from 1 species
GACGAACGCUGGCGGCGUGCUUAACACAUGCAAGUCGAACGGUGAAGCGCCUUCCUUUUUGGUGGGUGUGGAUGAGUGGCGAACGGGUGAGUAACACGUGAGUAACCUGCCCCCUUCUUCUGGAUAACCGCAUGAAAGUGUGGCUAAUACGGGAUAUUCUGGGUCUGUCGCAUGAUGGGUCUGGGAAAGAUAUUGUUUCGGUGGGGGAUGGGCUCGCGGCCUAUCAGCUUGUUGGUGGGGUGAUGGCCUACCAAGGCGGUGACGGGUAGCCGGUCUGAGAGGGUGGACGGUCACACUGGGACUGAGACACGGACAAGACUCCUACGGGAGGCAGCAGUGGGGAAUAUUGCACAAUGGGCGCAAGCCUGAUGCAGCGACGCCGCGUGAGGGAUGGAGGCCUUCGGGUUGUGAACCUCUUUCGCCAGUGAAGCAGGCCUGCCUCGUUUGUGGGUGGGUUGACGGUAGCUGGAUAAGAAGCGCCGGCUAACUACGUG